CUCAAAUUUGAAAUCUGGCACCUUCGGUGUCCGAGUUGUAAUUUGAAGAAGGUAACUUUGGAGUUGGCUCUUGUCUAUGUUCCUUGGAACAGGACGUCACAGAGGGUGAGAAUCCCGUGCGAUGAGAUGCCCAAUUCUAUGUAAAGUGCUUUCGAAGAGUCGAGUUGUUUGGGAAUGCAGCUCUAAGUGGGUGGUAAAUUCCAUCUAAAGCUAAAUAUUGGCGAGAGACCGAUAGCGAACAAGUACAGUGAUGGAAAGAUGAAAAGAACUUUGAAAAGAGAGUGAAAAAGUACGUGAAAUUGUUGAAAGGGAAGGGCUUGAGAUCAGACUUGGUAUUUUGCAAGCCUUACCUUCGUGGUGGGGUCCCCUGCAGUUUACUGGGCCAGCAUCGGUUUGGAUGGUAGGAUAAUGACUUGGGAAUGUGACUUUGCUUCGGUAAAGUGUUAUAGCCCUUGUUGAUACUGCCUGUCUAGACCGAGGACUGCGUCUUUGACUAGGAUGCUGGCAUAAUGAUCUUAAGUCGC
rnacentral:rRNA from 1 species